UCACAAUUUACAUUUAAGCAACUAUAUACACAUGCAAAAGACCUUGACUAUCAGCGGAGUGACUUUGGGUAUGGGUACCGCUAUUGGAUGCCAUGGUACCUACCAAAUGGCGAAUACAAAUGGACACUUCAAUCUAGGUCUUAACUACCUCCGAAUCUGAAAACAUGAAGUUAAAAAAAAUGAGUACAAACCCAGUGAGUGAACAUAGGAAGGGAACAAGCAAACGAUAAGGAAAGUUUAGAAAUCAUGAUGCACUUAUGUUAAAAACAAUGCAAUUUAGUUUAUUUCCUCGUAAAACCCCUCAAUUCUACCUUUGGUUAUUUAACCCCUUAGUGUUGAAGGAUCCAUGAUCCAUAAUGAAAUCGAAAAGUGAAAACCACAGUAAAUAUUCGAGCACGACAAGCAAGACAGAGAGUUUUUUCGUUGCAUUGAAAAUCAAUUUGGAAACAAUUAACAAUUUCAACAUUCAACAUUCAUUGCAAUCACAUAAUAUUUUCUCUUACAUUUCUAUGGUAUGUGUAAACAUGUCUACAACCACCAGCUCAUCAGCUCAUGUGCACUCCCACACCGCACAUAGCGUGACACCCAGUACCUUUGUAUAUAAAUCAAUAUGACCUUAUCGACGAGACAAAUGGUCAAUGGAUGCUGAUUUAAGUGCCAAAAAAUGGAGACGGGUGAAAAGAGUAUUUUAAGAUAAAACUUUCCACACAUGAAGAAAUAAUAAGAAAAAUAAUAAUAUUUUUGUCACGACCCAAUUCUCGGGCCAUGACCGGUGCAUGGGCCUAAUGGACAUAGCCCACUAAGCCCAAGCAAGCCUAUCUAUGUGACUCCAUUUAUCGAUUUCAUCAUUCAUUUUUACCACUGUAAGUCGAAGUUCUUACUAACGAGUAUGUCAAAACUUUUCUAUCGAAACCAUAGAUUCACCUUUAUAUGAUUCAAAAUAAUAUCAUUCGUGCCAUUACAUAGUGGCAACAUUAAACAAUAUAAACGUCUAUUGCUUAAGACAUAUACACGUCUUAACAAUUUACAUCAGGGCACGUGUGUUCAACAAAAAAGACUCUAGACUUCCAGCAGAGCAACCAUAGCGAAGGUGCAGCUACUAAAUGCCAUUGAUACCUACCAAAAGAUGGAUAUAAGUCUACGAGGACACCUCGUCCUAGUUACCGGUUACCUCUUGAUCUGAAAACAUGAGGUUGAAAACGGUGAGUAUAAACUCAGUGAGUGAAUAUAAGAAGGGAACAAGCAAACGAGAAGAAAGAAUUUGGAAAUCAUGAUGCACUUGUUUCAAAAACAAUGCAAUUGAUUUAGUUUCUUACUAAAAACCCCUCAUUUUAAACUUUGAUUAAUAACCUCAUAGUGUUGCAAAAAUCCAAGAUCAAUCUAUAAAGUUAAAUGGGUGAAAAAUAUGUCAAAAUCAAGCAAGAUAGCAAGCAUGGCAGCAAGUUUCUCACUGCAAUGAAGUUCAUUCUCACUGCAGCGAGAUUCAGGUGGCCAAAACAAAAAAUUUCUCACUGUAGCGAGAAAUAGUGUUAGUUUGCAUAUGUUUCAGUUUUUCUAUUAUAUCUCCCACUACAGAAGUCCAAUUGACCUGAUUUUUGAACCAUUAGAAAGAUAAGAGACAGGGAUACAACUUUGGUGUUUAUCACUUUUCCCAUUUCAGACGGGAAGGUGGUCAAAAUUCUCAUUGAAGUGAAAGCACUGCAUCAAAACCUGAGAGUUUCUCACUGCAGCCAGAUUUAUUCUCGCUGCAGUGAGUUGUUGGCUGCCAAAACAUAAUGUUUCUCACUACAGCGAGAAGCAAAGCACCUAAGUGUAAAAAAGACCUCCUUUACACUAAAAAUUCAUUUGGUGUUGCAAUAAAAAUCAAUUUGCAAGAAAAUGGGAAAUUCUCAAGAUCCAUCAUGCCAAAUUUCACAUGCAUUACAACCAUAAACCAUAUUCAUGAGAUUUCUAUACCACACACAAUUACAUAUACAUACAUCAUCAUCAUGUGUGCACUCCCUACUCGCACACUCCAUCAUCAUCAUGUGUGCACUCCCUACUCGCACACUUCAACAUCACCAACCAACAUCAUUCAUCAUUACACAACACAUAUUCAUAAGAUAUAUACACACCUACCAACAUAAUAUAAAGCAUACGAAUUCAUCCUUAUACACAUAUCACAUUUCACAAUAUCAAAAACAUUUAAUCAAGGCUUGUUCCUUGGCACACAUUUGCAAAGAAAAGUUAGAUAAAAUCAUUCAAAUAUCUUGUGCAAACACAUUUGCAUUCCCAAAACAAGUUUGAAAUGGAAGUCCACUCACCGGUAUUUCGUUGAACCUUUAGUCGAUUCUAACUUCCCUAAUGGUCCAAACAGGAUGGUGGGGCUUCGUUGGAACCUAUCAUCACAUUAACAUCACAAUUAAUUCAAUUCUCAUAAUUACAAGUUCUACAAGCUAUCACCUACUAGUUUCCAAGUGCCAUUAAAUGGCUAUCCAUUUUCACUAUCCUAAUCGCUCCAAAGUGAAUUUCCAACCUCAACUACCAAAACACCCACAAGUCUAAACACUAAUAAUUUUCAACACUAAAAAUCAAUUCAAGUUCACUACUCACCUUGGUAGCUUUGUGAUUGAAAUUCUUUCCAAAAACUUUCAAACUAUUAAUAAAGCUUCCUCUUUCUCUCUCUAAAACACCUAACUAGUGAGAGAGAGUAUGGAAAUAAUAUUUUUUUCAAGGGUUUUAAAGAGAAAGAGUGGAAGAGCAUAAGGAUUUGUGAAAAGGUGCACCAAAAGCAUGAAAAGUGGAGCUAUUUUGAGGGA
rnacentral:lncRNA from 1 species